ACACGUGGAUAACUUACCCUUAGGUGGAGGAUACACUCGGGAAACUGAGAAUAAUACUCCAUAGAUCUAGGAUGCUGGAAUGCAUCUAGAUUGAAAGUUGCGGCGCCUAAGGAUAGGUCUGCGGACUAUCAGGUUGUAGUCAGGGUAAUGACCUGACUAGCCUACGACGGAUAUGGGUUGUGAGAGCAAUAGCCCAGAGACGAUAUCUGAGACACGAUAUCGGGCCCUACGGGGCGCAGCAGGCGCGAAAUCUUCACAAUGUGCGAAAGCACGAUGAGGGAAUCCCAAGUGCUAGCACGUAAGUGUUAGCUGUUUCUUAGUCUAAAAAACUGAGAGAGUAAGAGCUGGGUAAGACGGGUGCCAGCCGCCGCGGUAAUACCUGCAGCUCGAGUGGUGGCCGCUAUUAUUGGGCCUAAAACGUCCGUAGCCUGUUUAGUAAAUGCCUGGGUAAAUUGUAUAGCUUAACUAUACAAAUACUGGGUAGACUGCUAAACUUGGGACCGGGAGAGGCUAGAGGUACUCCUGGGGUAGAGGUGAAAUUCUGUAAUCCUAGGGG
rnacentral:rRNA from 1 species